UCCUCGUUGAAGCGAGGCAGUCUGUCCAGAGUGCUCCAGCCUCUCGACCGGGUGGCAACAGAACAUAGGGGUUGCGCUCGUUGCGGGACUUAACCCAACAUCUCACGACACGAGCUGGCGACAGCCAUGCAGCACCUAUAUAGCGACCCUUGCGGGAAGGGAUGUUUCCACCCCGGUCCACUACUAUGUGCAUGUCAAGGCCAGGUAAGGUUCUUCGCGUUGCAUCGAAUUAAGCCACAUACUCCACCGCUUGUGCAGGCCCCCGUCAAUUUCUUUGAGUUUUAAUCUUGCGACCGUACUUCCCAGGUGGCAUAUUUAACGCGUUUGCUUCGCCACAAAAGGGGUCGAUUCCUUUUACAGCAAAUAUGCACCGUUUACAGCUAGGACUAC
rnacentral:misc_RNA from 1 species